UACCAUUCUCGAUGGACUCGUAUUCCUGCAACACUAUCUUCCUGAAAAUUGGAAAUAUCAUAAAAAAUUGUUUCGGUUCCUGCUCUUUAUCGGAACUCGUCGCUGUCUCAUAAUCAGGCGGAAUAUUCUCGUGAGAAUCGAAACCGUCCAACUGGAAGGCCUCGACGCGACGGAACGCAACGCUAAUCGCGCCACGCGCGAAAAACUGACCCGGACUUUUCCGCCGAUGAAUACCGAGGCUAGGAUCCCGUGACGAUCACUCUCACAGGAGAACAAUCUUUAUCCUAUCUUCACUCGCGAAUAUACUUCGCGAUAAGAUUUUCCGUGACGGAGGAGAGAUCCGGCGGAGUCUCCGCGAAGAUGCAGCUAAUGACUGAAACUUCCUC